rnacentral:lncRNA from 1 species
UUCUAUUCAGAAUCACUCAAAAGUCCUAGUGUGAUAUGAAAAAUAUUUCAUAUGAGAGAUAGAUAUGGGUUAGAGUUCAUUACAAGAUAUAGCUUUGGGAAGACAACUAAUGUCUUCCUAGAAAUUACACUAGAAAGUGGAAGGUUAUGUUUGGUUCUUCUCUUACAGGAUAUUCCAUAGAGUUAUAUUCAUCUUUUGCGCUUAAGGUUACUUUCUCACCUAUUUGUAUUAUUCAUAUGAAUUAAAUUACAUUUAUAAUUUUAUCACAUCUCAAAAUACAUCAUUGAGAUUUUAAAUAAGUUUACGUAAAUAGUUUUCUCUUUUAACUGAUUACCGAUAGUUCACGUGAUUAUUUAUUGUCGUAUUUUAAUAUAUUUUAAUUUUAAAAUAUUUCUAUUUCAAUUCUUGUUUGGACAAUAAUUAAUUACUAACAAUUCACACGAUUGUUUAUUAUUGUAUCUUGAUAUAUUUCAAUUUUAAAAAAAUUUCUAUUUUAUUUCUUGUCUAGACAAUAUGGCAAUUUUUUUCUAUAAAUACCUUUACAACCCUUCCAUGGAGAGUCCAUCAAAAUCGUAAUGUGAUAGAAAAUUUUCAUUCCAGAGGUAAGGUAUAGUUUAGAGUUCAAUACAAGGUGUAGUUUUGGGAAGACAACUAAUGUCUUUUUAGAAAUUGCACUAGAAAGUUGAAGGCCAUGUUUGGUUUCUCUUCAUAGAAUUUUCCAUAGAGCUAGCAUUCAAGGUUACUUUCUCAACUUGCAUAUUUAAUUUGCAUUAUUUAAGAACCAAAUUUAUAUUUGUAAUUUUUACAGCAUCUCAAAAUAUAUAAUUAUUUUUGAAAUUUUAAACAAUUUCACGUAAAAAGUCUUCUUUUUAACUGAUUAUUAAUAAUUCAGAUGAUUAUUUAUUAUCGCAUCUUGAUAUAUAUCAAUUUAAAAAUAUUUUUGUUUCAUUUCUUUCAUAAACAAUAUGUCAUUACUGAUAAUUCACUUGAUUAUUUAUUAUUAUAUCUUGAUAUAUUUCAGUUUAAAAAUGUCUCUACUUGAUUUUUUUUCUACAAUAUCACAUAAUCUUUCUAUAAAUACCUUUAUAACAAUUCACGUGAUUAUUUAUUAUAUCUUGAUGUAUUUCAAUUUAAAAAUAUCUUUACUUAAUUUUCUAUUUCCACAAUAUCACAUAUUUUGAGAGAUAGAAUAUGGUUUAGAGUUCAAUACAAGUUGUAGUUUUGGAAAGAUAACUAAUGUCUUCUUAGAAAUUGCACUAGAAAGUUGAAGGCCAUGUUUGAUUCUCUUCACAGAACUUCCAAUAGAGCUACCUUCAUCUUUUGCUUUAAGGUUAUUCUCUCAAUUUAUAUAUUUAAUUUGUGUCAGUCAUAUGAAUUAAAUUUAUAUUAAUUUUUAUCGUAUCUCAAAAUAUAUUAUUAUUUUUUAUAUUUUAACCAACUUCACAUGAUUGGUCUUAAACUUUUUAACUGAUUACUGACAGUUCACGUAAUUAUUUAUUAUCGUAUUUUCUUGUUUAUACAUUAUGUUAUUACUAACAAUUAAUAUGAUUAUUUAUUAUUAUAUUUUAAUAUAUUUCACUUAUAAAAAUAUAUCUACUUCAUCUUCUGCUUGGACAAUAUCACAUAAUUUUUCUAUAAAUAUCUUCGCAAUCCUUCCGUUUAGAAUCACCGAAAACCUAUUGUGAGAAAUUUUUCAUAUGAGUAGUUUUGGGAAGACAACUAAUGUCUUCUUAGAAAUUGGUAGCACUACAAAGUUGAACGCCAUGUUUGGUUCUCUUCACAAGACUUUUGUAAAGCUACAUUCAUUUUUUGCGCUUAAGGUUACUUUCUCAGCUUGCAAUUUAAUUUGUAUUAUUCAUAUGAAUUAAAUUUAUGUUUAUUAUUAUUAAUAAGGUUUACCUCAUUAGUACUAAUAUCAUUUUUAAGGUUAGAAGAUCUUGAAUUCCAAUUUUAAUAUGUCAAUUCUAACAGAGAAAAAAAAUUUACCAUUUUCUUUUAUUGCUAAGUAAAUUUUUAAAAAAAGAAAAGAUGGCAAUAAUUAUUGAUUUCUUUAUGUAGAAGUAAUGAUAAUUAAUAUAAUUACUUAAUUGUCUUAUUGGUUUAGUAUAGUAACCAUAAUAUCCCCAUUGAUGCAGGAGAAGGGACGCGAUAAUUUAUGACGACAGAGGCGCAAAGGACGUCGUCGUUUUGUUAACAUUGGAGCUGUUUUUCUUUGAUCUCUACGCAAAAUUAGUUCCCCUGUGAGUGAUCAACAGUGGCAGGUAAUUUUCUUAUUACGUUUCCAUAAUUAACUUUUACACUGAAGAAUUAAAUUGAUAUGCACCUUUUUUUUAAGCUACGGUAAUUGAAACUGCAUUAAUCACAUGGUGCUUUUUUUAUAUGAUUUGAUGUUGAUAUUUAAUAAAUAAAUGUGUAAAUAUUUUUUAAAAAUUAUUUUGCCAUUAGUAUACUAUUAAAAAAUAACAAAGUUAAAAACUCAUGGAUAUAAAAUUAAUGGUAUUAAUAAAAUUCACUCUCAUAGUUCAUUAUCAUACCAUCCAAAAAAGAAAUUUACCUGUUUAGUUGAUCGAAAUGAUAAAUUGAUUCUACAUGUUAUCAAUAUGAAAGAUUAGCCUGUCUUAGGAGAAUUUAAUUUCAUGGUCCAAUGUUAUUUUAUUGGAUCAGGGAAGUUUUCACGCUUCUGGAUGGGUUCUUUCGGUUAUCACAAUUCACAACCUGGCUGGACGAGUUUAGCCUCUCAAACCAUGAGCUAGUUAUUGGGUUCUUGUUAAAAACCAGGAGAUUUCAUUUCUGUUACCCAUGUGUGAGAAGAAGAAAAUGGUGCUAUAGAACUUGCGAUCGAACAAGCAAUUAACUUCUCUUUUAUUAGUUUACAAAUACAGGGAAUGAAGCAAGCACAUGCUAAAGCUCCUGCUCACUCCCCCAUAUGCUGGUAGAGAUUGUCCUUGCGAAUGUUGGACAAUCUCUCUACAAAUAAAUCAAUAUUGUCGUCGCGAUCUAGCAAACUAAUCCUAACGUAUUGUGGACCAACUCCGAAGUGUGUCCCACUCCUCGUCAAGAUCUUGUUCGAUCUUAAGAAGCUCUCGCAGUCUUCGAUCGGUUCUUCGCACUUCAACCAUGCAAAAGCUGCACAAGAGGUAAUGUCGUAAGUGUUAAUUAAUUCCUUGCUAACAUUGCCGUAAAUAAGGAUAUAAAUUGUCAGACAUAAUGAUUAAUUAGUGUGGAAUUUUACCAGGUUGAGGUUCAAAGAACCUGCCCGUAAACUUGCAUAAUCCAGGGGAGAAUUCCGGCAAGCUGAACAUGCCACUACGUUUCACCGCCGCCCUUAGGUUUUGCCAUCUCUCCACCAUGAGGUGAUAGGCAAACUCAAAAAGAGAUUCUGUU